UACGUAGGGUGCGAGCGUUGUCCGGAGUUAUUGGGCGUAAAGAGCUUGUAGGUGGCUCGUUGCGUCGGGAGUGAAAACCUGCGGCUUAACCGCAGGCCUGCUUCCGAUACGGGCGAGCUAGAGUUCGGCAGGGGAGACUGGAAUUCCUGGUGUAGCGGUGGAAUGCGCAGAUAUCAGGAGGAACACCGGUGGCGAAGGCGGGUCUCUGGGCCGAUGCUGACACUGAGAAGCGAAAGCGUGGGGAGCGAACAGG
rnacentral:rRNA from 1 species